GUGUGAAGAACGAUUUUGUGUUUUUUUAAUGAAGACACGUGAAAAAACAACAUGGGGCGUAGUAAGCAACCAGAACGAAAGAAAGGAGGCCAUUCCGCAGAUGACAUGAAGAAGGCUAUAGAAUUAGUCCAAGCUGGAAUGAGCAUAAGGAAGGCUAGUAAAGAAUGCAAACUUAGUUAUCCGACCGUCCGCCUGUACGUGAAAAGAGCCAAUGAAAAUGCUGGUCAGCCAGUGCGUUUGACACCAAACUACGAAGUGAAUAAAAUUUUUACUUCAGAGGAGGAACAAGAGUUAGUCAAAUAUAUUGAACUUUGUGCUUUACUGUUUUACGGCCUCACUACUAGAGAUUGCCGUCGUAUCGCAUAUCAAAUGGCCAAAAUUAACGACCACGAUAAUAUACCACCAACAUGGAUACGUGAAAAAAUGGCUGGAAUAGAAUGGCUGCGUGCAUUUAGAAAAAGACAUCCAGAAAUCUCCCUAAGAAAGCCAGAGGCUUGUAGUUUAGGAAGGGCAACUGCCUUCAACAAACACAACGUUGAGUCUUUUUUCCACAAUUUAAAAUCUAUCAUGGAAAGACAUCCUUGCUUUGGAGAUGGUACUCUAUAAUUUAGACGAGACUGCCACCACUACUGUCCAGCGACCUGAAAAAGUAUUAGCAAAAAACUAUUUGGAUCUCUUUAGCUGUCAGUGCUAUAUGUUUGUUGAUUAAUAAGUUUAUAAAGGCCAAUUAUUAUAAAUAUGAGGCUUAUUAGUAUUUUAAAACACUGAUUUGAGACUGAUUACGUGCCAAUAAUUAAUAAGAAGAUUAUAAUGAAACUAAAUGGAUCUCCAUAGUCGUAUGUCCUAUUAAGCGUAUAAGUUAGUUCUAAUUUUAUAUUUAAGAAGUCAAAACUCACUCAUAUUGAUAUAAUUAUAAUAAAAAACGCUUUUGAUAUCAUUAAUGUUUCAAAACUUUAAGUUAAAUUGUUGAAUUCAUAAACACUUUAUUUUGUUCCUAACUAACGUAAGAAGAUUAUGUUUUUUUGUUGAUUUUGUCGAAUGUACCCUUUAUUUCAAAAUAAAAGCCAAA